GGGGCGAUAGGAAGGUCGGACAGUGAUUGGCUCCGCGUCCAUGACGUUCAACUCCCAUUCGAUAGGAGUUCAGACAAUCUGAGAUUCCCUCACGUUUCUCGGCCCGCCCCCUCUGCAAAGGGACCCAAUUGAUGAAAGACGGAGGCAGGCUCUGCUUACAGCCGAUUGGGCAAUCUAAUAGAGGGACUUUAAAGCCGUCUACUGAUUGGGUGAGAGAAGAGACAACGUAGAGCGAUUCUUCGCUACAGCGAUUAUUACUGGCUGACGUUCGGUGAAGAGGAAGUAUCUCAACCAAGCUAAUGCAAACGGAGCUCUGAUUGGUCGAGUUGUUGUUGUGGUGUUGGGAAAGGGCUUUUUCCCCCUCUGAGGCUAGAGGGCGAAGGUCACCGCGCGCAGGCAAGGCGCAGUUCCCAUGGCAACAGCAGACAGGCUCUUCCUACUGCUAGGCCCGUCUUGCUCUCGGAGCAGGAACCAAUCGCCGGCAGAAGAGGAAGAGGCCUAACUGCGUGGCUUGUGCCUGCAGGCCUUUUUCUCGCUUCCAAAAUGGCUCCCCCUCCUGCCGCUUUCGCCACGACCACUGGCCGACCUCGUUCCAGGCGCAAAGAUGAGUGCAUACAUAGACUGCAGCCAGAAAAUCAGAAGACGUCUACUUCUUGGGAGGAGAGCAAUAACCAAUUUCGAUAAAAUAGUUACGAGUAGACACAUCCCACUGGCAACAAAGGUCCACAGUGUUAAAGCAAUGGUAUUCACUAUAGUAACCUAUGGAUGGAAGAGCUGGACCAUAAGGAAGCCUGAGAGAAGGAAGAUAUCAACUGUGGUGUUCAAGGAAAAUUCUGAAUGCCUAGAGAAGAUCAAACCAGUCCAUACUCCAGGAAAUAAUGCCCAACUGCUCACUGGAGGGAAGGAUAUUAGAGGCAGAGAUGAAGUACUUUGGCCACAUAAUGAGAAGACAGGAAAGCUUGAAGAAGAGAAUGAUGGGGGGAGGGGGGAAAGGAAGGAAAAAGGAAGAGACGCCGACCAUGGGCAAGAUGGAUGGAUGUUAAUCCUUGACGUGACUGGCUUGACCUUGAAGGAGCUGGGAGUGGCCACUGCCAACAGGGAGCUCUGGCGUGGGCUGGAAGUGAUGAAUAAAUAACAAUUUUGAAUAGUAACUCAGAAGCAACCAGAAACUACAUUUACACGGAAUCUACCAAUCCUAAUAUGUGCCGGUUAGCUGAGUUUGUUGCAUUUUUUUUAUGCCAGCCUCCAGGUACAUAGGCACAGCGCUGCUGUGAGUUUAAACCAGCUUGCAAUUUGUUUCACUGUCAUGCCUUUAAAAUCCCAUUAAAGGUGCGAAGGAGAGAGCGUAGAAGAUUCAGCCGCGAAAUUCAGUCUGGAGAAUGAUUCAGAUAGCAUUAGGCAGGGACUGUUCUGGCAGAUUGGGCCAAUGAUUCAGAAAAUCUUACAAAAGCCUCUUGAUCAUAGAACUGGAAGAGACUCCAAGAGCUGUCUGUCCCAACCCCAUCCUAUCAUUGCAGGAAAAAAUAGAGCCCUCCCGACAAAUGGCCACCCAGCCAUUGAGCAGCAGUGGCACAAUGGGAUAAACCCUUGUGCUGGCUGGACUGCUGACUUUCGGGUUGGGUUGCUGACCUGAAGGUAGCCAGUUCAAAUCUGUGAGAUGGGGUGAGCUCCCGUUAGUUCUAGCUUGCACAGACAUGAGAGAGGCAUCCCCUGGGCAAUAUCUCAGUAGACGGUCAAUUCUCUCACACCAUUCGCGACUUGGAGUAUGUCUUCAAGUUGCUUCUGACACAAUUUUUUUAAAAGCCUCUGUUUAAAAAUUGCCAGAGAAGGAGACUCAUUCAUAAUCCCAAGACAGCACAUUCUACUACUGAAAGGCUGUUAUUGAAAUAAAGUCCUUCUUCGUGUUUAGGUGGAAUCUCUUUUCGUGCAAUCUGAAUCCACUCCUCUAUUGCGCCUUUGUCUCCAGAGCAGAAAAAAGAAGCUUGCCCCUCCUCAAUAGGACAUCCUGUCAUGUAUUAAAACAUGGCUGCUAUGUUCCUUCUUAGCCAUCUCUUUUCCAGGUGAAACAUCCCCAGAUCCCUAAGCCGCUCUUGUUGGCAUCAAGAGUCAUUCUACGUGGAACUUCUAUUUACCUCUCACGGCUAAAUUGCACUGCUAAUAAUAGGUUGGACACCAAGAGAGCUUUCUAUAAAUAAACAUGACAGUGAUGAAUUAGACACACAGGGUGAACAAAUACUGUUAGAUUUCAUUCUAAUCUAAGAAUGACUCCUGUCUGGUUAAACACAAGCCCUUUGUUUAAAGAAAAGUUACAAAAAACAAGGGCAUUUAGGUAAACACCUGGCAUGAAAGAUGCACAGUUCACACAUAUAGGAUGUAGGACAACAGCCAAUUAGAAGAUAGGAAACAACAGCCAAUUAGCAACAGCAUGUAAGUGCUUAAAAAUACCAACAAAAAGGCAGUAAGAAUUCACAAAGCUUUGUUCUUCCUUGUGCAAAUAAUACAUAAAGUCCUUGUUUCUUCCUUCGUAACCUGUGUUUUUUUUUGGCUUGAGAGACUGUAACAGUUUCGGGUUACCAAAGGCUUAAAGGACCACUAAAAUGUAAGUAUCCCAACAUUUUAAAAUUCUUUCUUGAACUUGUCUUAAAUGAACACUGUGUGUCAGUGGACUCAAUAAAAACGGUAUCCCUCUUCAUGCACAUCUGUAACCAAAAUCUUACUUCUCCAUUGACAGCAAGUGCAAAUAUGCAUUUCAGUCACUUUAUUGAAAUGUCAUAAAUCAGAAGAACAUAGGAGGAUGAAUCCAAGCAAAGGACCUUCCUCUGACCUACACCCAACAGACGCUGGGAGAUCUUUUGCCUCUGUAUAUCGAGUCUUUCAUGCUAUUCCAAAAUGCCUCUCUUGCAUCUCAGUGUUAGAGGCAAGGGGGAUACUGUUCAAAGGGAAUUGAUUGGACUCCUGCUCACAGCCCAAUGGUGUAGGAACGUCCUGUGGGAUUGUGGAUGACAGAGCACAUAGGGGAGAUGACGGCCCACUCGUACCAAACCUUCUUGGAAGUGCUGCAACGCCAGAAAGCCACCUGGAUGUGCUCACCUGCCUGGAUGUUCAUGGGGUGCUGUGGGCAAAAGAGUGUCAUGAGCAGAGAUACUAUGUACUGGCCAAGAAUACAACAUCCAACACAGCUGAUGAGUCAUAAGCUUUCCAAUCUGCAGAAGCCCUGGUAACUGCCUCUGCAUCUGUCUGUCUGUUGUCUCUGUCUCAAUGUGUUUAUGGGCAUUGAAUGUUUGCCCUAUAUGUACAUAAUGUGAUCCGCCCUGAGUCCCCUUCGGGGUGAGAAGGGCGGAAUAUAAAUACUGUAAAUAAAUACAUAAAUAAACUAAUACAAGCUCUA